UGUGGGAGCGGGCUUGCUCGCGAGGCAGGCGGCGCGAUCUGUCAGGCAAAUCGCGUUGAUGCCAUCGCGAGCAAGCCCGCUCCCACA
rnacentral:antisense_RNA from 1 species